GACGAACGCUGGCGGCGUGCCUAAUACAUGCAAGUCGACCUUAGGGGCGAACGGGUGAGUAACAAGUGGGUAACCUGCCGAUAAGAAGGGGAUAACACUUGGAAACAGGUGCUAAGACCGUAUACGGAAGGAUGGACACGGGGUGCAUUAGCUAGUUGGUGAGUAAACGGCUCACCAAGGCUACGAUGCAUAGCCGGUCUGCAAGGGUGAUCGGCCACAUUGUGACGGAGACACGGCCCAAACUCCUACGGGAGGCAGCAUUAGGGAAUCUUCCGCAAUGGACGAAAGUCUGACCGAGCCACGCCGCUUGAGUGAAGAAGGUUUUCGGAUCGUAAAACUCUGUUGUUAGAGAAGCGGUAUCUAACCAGAAAGCCACGGCUAACUACGUGCCAGCAGCCGCGGUAAUAC
rnacentral:rRNA from 1 species